AUAAAAUGGAGCUUUUGAGGCUCCAUAGGGCGUCCACAUCAGCGGAAAAAAAUUAUCCCGAAAGAUGACACGUGGCAUAAAAUAUAGUUUUACAUUUUAAUAUUAAUUAUUUUCGAAAAUUGUAAAAAAUAUGUAAACAUACAGCAUUAAAAAAUGGAAGCGUCCACAUCAGCGGAAAAAAUUUAUCCCGAAAGAUGACACGUGGCAUAAAAUAUAGUUUUACAUUUUAAUAUUAAUUAUUUUCGAAAAUUUUAAAAAAUAUGUAAACAUACAGCAUUAAAAAAUGGAAAAACUACAUUAAACAUAUGUAAGAUUACUAUUUUUCACUUAAAAAAAAAGAUGGCUUAUCUCCAUAAUGUAACAUUAUCGUUUUAUAAAAAAAAAACAAAAACAUUAUAUAUAAUUUCGAAAAUAAUAAAUAUAAGUAAAACAUACAACAUAAAAAUGGAAAUACUACAUUAAACAUAAAUAUGUUUGACUUCUCUACUAAUAAAAGGGAGCUUUUGAGGCUCCAUAGGGCGUCCACAUCAGCGGAAAAAAUUUAUCCCGAAAGAUGACACGUGGCAUAAAAUAUAGUUUUACAUUUUAAUAUUAAUUAUUUUCGAAAAUUGUAAAAAAUAUGUAAACAUACAGCAUUAAAAAAUGGAAAAACUACAUUAAACAUAUGUAAGAUUACUAUUUUUCACUUAAAAAAAAAAAGACGGCUUAUCUCCAUAAUGUAACAUUACCGUUUUAUAAAAAAAAACAAAAAACAUUAUAUAUAAUUUCGAAAAUAAUAAAUAUAAGUAAAACAUACAACAUAAAAAUGGAAAUACUACAUUAAACAUAAAUAUGUUUGACUAUUUGUCCAAGUUCUUCUAUUAAACAUUGCCGUUUUACAUUAAAAAUAGAAAAUACGUAAAGAUUUAAACAUCUAUCUUAAAAUAUAAAAUAUAGA
rnacentral:lncRNA from 1 species